CAAAACCCCCGACUCUUGAGUUGACCUCGGAUCAGGUAGGAAUACCCGCUGAACUUAAGCAUAUCAAUAAGCGGAGGAAAAGAAACCAACAGGGAUUGCCCCAGUAACGGCGAGUGAAGCGGCAACAGCUCAAAUUUGAAAUCUGGCCCCCGCGGUCCGAGUUGUAAUUUGUAGAGGAUGCUUUUGGCGCGGUGCCUUCCGAGUUCCCUGGAACGGGACGCCAUAGAGGGUGAGAGCCCCGUCUGGUUGGACACCAAGCCUCUGUAAAGCUCCUUCGACGAGUCGAGUAGUUUGGGAAUGCUGCUCUAAAUGGGAGGUAUAUGUCUUCUAAAGCUAAAUACCGGCCAGAGACCGAUAGCGCACAAGUAGAGUGAUCGAAAGAUGAAAAGCACUUUGAAAAGAGGGUUAAAUAGUACGUGAAAUUGUUGAAAGGGAAGCGUUUGUGACCAGACUUGGGCCCGGUUAAUCAUCCAGCGUUCUCGCUGGUGCACUUUGCCGGCCCAGGCCAGCAUCAGUUCGCGCCGGGGGAUAAAGGUUUCGGGAACGUGGCUCCCUCGGGAGUGUUAUAGCCCGUUGCGCAAUACCCUGGUGCGGACUGAGGUUCGCGCUCCGCAAGGAUGCUGGCGUAAUGGUCAUCAGCGACCCGUCUUGAAACACGGACCAAGGAGUCGUCUUCGUAUGCGAGUGUUCGGGUGUCAAACCCCUACGCGUAAUGAAAGUGAACGCAGGUGAGAGCUUCGGCGCAUCAUCGACCGAUCCUGAUGUUCUCGGAUGGAUUUGAGUAAGAGCAUACGGGGCCGGACCCGAAAGAAGGUGAACUAUGCCUGUAUAGGGUGAAGCCAGAGGAAACUCUGGUGGAGGCUCGCAGCGGUUCUGACGUGCAAAUCGAUCGUCAAAUAUGGGCAUGGGGGCGAAAGACUAAUCGAACCUUCUAGUAGCUGGUUUCCGC
rnacentral:rRNA from 1 species